UACAGAGGUCCCAAGCGUUGUUCGGAUUCACUGGGCGUAAAGGGUGCGUAGGUGGCAAGGUAAGUUUGAUGUGAAAUCGUUCGAGCUCAACUCGGAAACUGCAUUGAAUACUAUCUUGCUUGAGGAUUGGAGGGGAGGCUGGAAUUCUCGGUGUAGCAGUGAAAUGCGUAGAUAUCGAGAGGAACACCAGUGGCGAAGGCGAGUCUCUAGACAACUCCUGACACUGAGGCACGAAAGCUAGGGGAGCAAACAGG
rnacentral:rRNA from 1 species